rnacentral:rRNA from 1 species
GACAGAGGAGGCGAGCGUUGUUCGGAAUUACUGGGCUUAAAGGGCGAGUAGGCGGCGCAGCAAGUCUGAGGUGAAAACCUAUGGCUUAACCGUAAAACUGCCUUGGAUACUGUUUCACUUGAGUCAGUGAGGGGAGGACGGAAUUCCCGGUGUAGCGGUGAAAUGCGUAGAUAUCGGGAGGAAGGCCAGUGGCGAAGGCGGCCCUCUGGCGGUGAACUGACGCUGAAGCGCGAAAGCGUGGGAAGCAAACAGGAUUAAAUACCCUGGUAGCCCACGCCCUAAACGAUGGGCAUUAGGUGUAGGGUCCGCAAGGCUUCUGUGCCGAAGGGAAACCAUUAAAUGCCCCGCCUGUGGAGAACGGCCGCGAGGUAGAAACUCUCAGGAAUUGAGGGGGGCCCGCACAAGCGGUGGAGAAUGUGGGUUAAUUCUACGCUACACGAAAAAACUUACCUGUGCUUGACAUGUUAGUGGGAAAAACCCGAAAGGGGAAUGACUUGCGGGUAACCCCUUGAGCUAACGCAGGUGCCGCAUGGCUGUCGUCACCUCGUUCCGUGAGGUGCUGGGGUAAGUCGCGCAACGAGCGCAACCCUUAUCCUCUGUUGGUUGGAAACCACCUCUCUGAGGAAACCGCCGGCGACAAGCCGGAGGAAGGUGGGGAUGACGUCAAGUCCUCAUGGCCCUUAUGUCCAGGGCGACACACGCGCUACAAUGGCCGGUACAGAGGGUUGCAAUACCGCGAGGUGGAGCCAAUCCCUAAAAGCGGUCUCAGUUGGGAUCGGAGUCUGCAACUCGACUCCGUGAACUCGGAAUCGCUAGUAAUCGUGGAUCAGCCAUACCACGGUGAAUACGUUCCCGGGCCU